rnacentral:misc_RNA from 1 species
GUUUUUAUUAUUAUUUAUAAAUUAAAUUUCAGACAAAAUUUUAAAGCGUUGGUUCGUUUAAAAAAAACUCUGGGAGGCUGGUUCAAUCUUUUUUUAAAAAAGAUAUCCCAAAUCCCAUGGUAACCAACUGUUUGUUAGCCACCAGGGAAAAAACCAUCCCAAAGUAUACUUUCAGUAGGUGCACACAAGGUGAAUAUGGAUACAAAAAAUCCAUAUGGAUUAAUUGAUAAUGAUCCUUCCGCAGGUUCACCUACGGAAA